rnacentral:rRNA from 1 species
AACAAAAACAUGUCUUUUUGAUUAUAAUUUAAAGUCUAACCUGCCCAAUGAACAAUUUGAAUGGCCGCGGUAUUUUGACCGUGCUAAGGUAGCAUAAUAAUUAGUUUUUUAAUUGAAAACUGGUAUGAAUGGUUGAACGAAGAAAAAUCUGUCUCAAUUUAAUUUGAUUAGAAUUUUAUUUUUAAGUAAAAAAGCUUAAAUAAUUUUAAAAGACGAGAAGACCCUAUAGAGUUUUAUAGUUAAUUAUUAAUUAGAUUAAUAGAAUUUUCUUUUUAAUUUUUAGUUAAUUAUUUUGUUGGGGUGACAAAAAAAUUUAAUAAACUUUUUUUAUAUAUUAUCAUUGAUUUAUGAAUAAGUGAUCCAUUUUUUAUGAUUAUAAGAUUAAAUUACCUUAGGGAUAACAGCGUAAUUUUUUUUAAGAGUUCUUAUCG